rnacentral:rRNA from 1 species
AUUGAACGCUGGCGGCAGGCUUAACACAUGCAAGUCGAGCGAGUGGCGGACGGGUGAGUAAUGGCUGGGAAACUGCCUGAUGGAGGGGGAUAACUACUGGAAACGGUAGCUACUACCGCAUACCAUCAGAUGUGCCCAGAUGGGUUUAGCGAGUAGGUGGGGUAAUGGCUCACCUAGGCGACGAUACCUAGCUGGUCGGAGAGGGUGACCAUCCACGCUGGAACUGACACACGGUCCAGACUCCUACGAGAGGCAGCAGUAGGGAAUAUUGGACAAUGAGCGCGAGCCUGAUGCAGCCAUGCCGCGUGUAGGAAGAAGGCCUUCGGGUUGUAAAAUACUUUCAGCCUGGACGCCUUACCCACAGACUAAGCACAGGCUGACUCCGUGCCAGCCGCCGCGGUAAUAC